rnacentral:sRNA from 1 species
GCCGGGCAUGCUGGUGCAUGCCUGUAAUCCCAGCAGCUUGGGAGGCUGAGGGAGGAUCAGAUGUUCAAAACCAGCCUUGGCAACAGUGAGGCACUAAGCAACUUGGUGAGACCCCGUCUCUA